rnacentral:rRNA from 1 species
AGAGUUUGAUCAUGGCUCAGGAUGAACGCUGGCGGCGUGCUUAAUACAUGCAAGUCGAACGGUUCAAUCAGUGAUGGUUGGAUAGUGGCGAACGGGUGAGUAACGCGUUGGUGACCUGCCCCGAAGAGAGGGAUAACAGACCGAAAGGUUUGCUAAUACCGCAUAAUAUCCGAGGAGUUAGAGAGCUUGGAAGAAAAGCCGAAAGGCGCUUUGGGAGGGGCCUGCGUCCCAUCAGCUAGUUGGCAGGGUAACGGCCUACCAAGGCGAUGACGGGUAGGGGACCUGAGAGGGUGACCCCCCACAAUGGAACUGAAACACGGUCCAUACACCUACGGGUGGCAGCAGUAGGGAAUAUUGGUUAAUGGGCGAAAGCCUGACCCAGCAACGCCGCGUGGACGAAGAAGGCCUUCGGGUUGUAAAGUCCUUUUUAGCGGGAUGAGGAAGGACAGUACCGCUAGAAUAAGUCUCGGCUAACUACGUGCCAGCAGCCGCGGUAACACGUAGGAGACGAGCGUUAUCCGGAUUUACUGGGUGUAAAGCGCGUGCAGGCGGCUCGGAAAGUUGGAUGUAAAAGCUCCUGGCUUAACUAGGAGAGGUCGUUCAAAACUACCGGGCUAGAGUACAGCAGAGGGGAGUGGAAUUCCGAGUGUAGCGGUAAAAUGCAUAGAUAUUCGGAAGAACACCAGUGGCGAAGGCGGCUCUCUGGGCUGAGACUGACGCUCAGACGCGAAAGCUAGGGUAGCGAACGGGAUUAGAGACCCCGGUAGUCCUAGCCGUAAACGAUGUGAACUAGGCGUAGGCGGGUUGAAAUCCGGCUGUGCCGAAGCAAACGCGAUAAGUUCACCACCUGGGGACUACGGCCGCAAGGCUAAAACUCAAAGGAAUUGACGG